GACGAACGCUGGCGGCGUGCUUAACACAUGCAAGUCGAACGGAAAGGCCCUGCUUUUGUGGGGUGCUCGAGUGGCGAACGGGUGAGUAACACGUGAGUAACCUGCCCUUGACUUUGGGAUAACUUCAGGAAACUGGGGCUAAUACCGGAUAGGAGCUCCUGCUGCAUGGUGGGGGUUGGAAAGUUUCGGCGGUUGGGGAUGGACUCGCAGCUUAUCAGCUUGUUGGUGUGGUAGUGGCUUACCAAGGCUUUGACGGGUAGCCGGCCUGAGAGGGUGACCGGCCACAUUGGGACUAAGAGACGGACCAGACUCCUACGGGAGGCAGCAGUGGGGAAUAUUGCACAAUGGGCGGAAGCCUGAUGCAGCAACGCCGCGUGCGGGAUGACGGCCUUCGGGUUGUAAACCGCUUUCGCAUGUGACGAAGAGUGAGUGACGGUAAUGGGUAAAGAAGCACCGGCUAACUACGUG
rnacentral:rRNA from 1 species